rnacentral:rRNA from 1 species
CGUACGGGGGGCAGCAGUGGGGAAUAUUGGACAAUGGGGGCAACCCUGAUCCAGCCAUGCCGCGUGUGUGAAGAAGGCCCUCGGGUUGUAAAGCACUUUCAGUGAGGAAGAACGCCUGGUGGUUAAUACCCAUCAGGAAAGACAUCACUCACAGAAGAAGCACCGGCUAACUCCGUGCCAGCAGCCGCGGUAAUACGGAGGGUGCGAGCGUUAAUCGGAAUUACUGGGCGUAAAGCGCGCGUAGGCGGCUUGAUAAGCCGGUUGUGAAAGCCCCGGGCUCAACCUGGGAACGGCAUCCGGAACUGUCAAGCUAGAGUGCAGGAGAGGAAGGUAGAAUUCCCGGUGUAGCGGUGAAAUGCGUAGAGAUCGGGAGGAAUACCAGUGGCGAAGGCGGCCUUCUGGACUGACACUGACACUGAGGUGCGAAAGCGUGGGUAGCAAACAGGAUUAGAUACCCCUGUAGUC